rnacentral:rRNA from 1 species
GGACCCGCACAAGCAGCGAGGCAUGUGGUUUAAUUCGAUGCUACACGAAGAACCUUACCUGGGCUUGACAUACAUGUGAAAGCUCGAAGAAACUCGAGCCCUCAUGAGGGUUAAACCUCAUGACACAUGCACAGGUGCUGCAUGGUUGUCGUCAGCUCGUGUCGUGAGAUGUACGGUUAAGUCCGUGAACGAGCGCAACCCUUGCUCUUAGUUGCUAAUAGGCUUCGGCCUAUGCACUCUAAGAGGACUGCCAGCGAUAAGCUGGAGGAAGGUGGGGAUGACGUCAAAUCCUCAUGGCCCUUAUGCCCAGGGCCACACACAUGCGACAAUGGUCAAGACAAUGCGUUGCAAGCCAGCGAUGGUUAGCUAAUCGCAUAAAAUUGACCUCAGUACGGAUUGAGGGUUGCAAUUCACCCUCAUGAAGCUGGAGUUGCUAGUAACCGCCGGUCAGCUAUACGGCGAUGAAUACGUUCCCGGGUCUU